AANUUAGCAUAUCAAUAAGCGGAGGAAAAGAAACCAACAGGGAUUGCCCCUAGUAACGGGCGAGUGAAGCGGCAAAAGCUCAAAUUUGAAAUCUGGCUCUCUAUGGGAGUCCGAGUUGUAAUUUGUAGAGGGCGCUUUGGCGUCGGCAGCGGUCUAAGUUCCUUGGAACAGGACGUCACAGAGGGUGAGAAUCCCGUACGUGGUCGCCUGCCUUCGCCGUGUAAAGCCCCUUCGACGAGUCGAGUUGUUUGGGAAUGCAGCUCUAAAUGGGAGGUAAAUUUCUCCUAAAGCUAAAUACUGGCCAGAGACCGAUAGCGCACAAGUAGAGUGAUCGAAAGAUGAAAAGCACUUUGGAAAGAGAGUCAAAUAGCACGUGAAAUUGUUGAAAGGGAAGCGCUUGCAGCCAGACGUGCCCGCGGUUGUUCUCUUCCGCGGGCAGGCCAGCAUCAGUUUGGGCGGUCGGAUAAAGGCCUCUGUCACGUAUCUCCCUUCGGGGAGACCUUAUAGGGGAGGCGUAAUGCGAUCAGCCCGGACUGAGGUCCGCGCAUCUGCUAGGAUGCUGGCGUAAUGGCUGUAAGCGGCCCGUCUUGAAACACGGACCAAGGAGUCUAACAUCUAUGCGAGUGUUUGGGUGUCAAGCCCGAGCGCGCAAUGAAAGUGAACGGAGGUGGGAACCCUUUGGGUGCACCAUCGACCGAUCCUGAAGUCUUCGGAUGGAUUUGAGUAAGAGCAUGGCUGUUGGGACCCGAAAGAUGGUGAACUAUGCUUGAAUAGGGUGAAGCCAGAGGAAACUCUGGUGGAGGCUCGCAGCGNUUCUGACGUNAA
rnacentral:rRNA from 1 species